rnacentral:lncRNA from 1 species
AAGAAAUAAUAACCAUAACAUCAAAAUAUAGAAUCUAACAAGAUUCAAAAGUCACAAUGAAAAUAUAGUAGUUCAGAUUAAUAAAGUUCAAACACAAAGACAAUAAUAAAACCCUAAAACAUCUAUUCCUCUUGAGCAGAAUCACCAGUCUGCUUGUUGUGCUUCCUUGCAUACCUCUGGUUCCUCAAGAACUUGGGGUCCAUCUGCAUCAAAAAAAAAAAAACACAAAUUUAAUAAAUAUAACAUCAAACACAACUGCAUACACCCUUGAAUUGAAAACAGAUACACAAUCUAAAACAACCUCAAAAUUAUCAAAUUGUAACAAAACAGAUAACAGAAUUCACCCAUUACAAUAUUAAAACAAGCAGAAAAUAGCAUUCACCAGCAUCAUAUCAUAACAAAAUAACAAAUAGACAAACAAUCUCAAAUAUCCUCCAUAUUAGGGUUAUUGGAUUUUAUUACCCCUAACUAUCGGCUAUUUGUCGCUGCCACCCCCAACUAUCACUUUGACGACACACUAAGUGUUAAGUUGGAGGUGACAGGCGUCAAAGCGAUAGUUGGGGGUCAUAAAAUCCAAUAACUCUCCAAAUUAUGAGAACAUAACCUUGGUUUAAAAAAGCGGGAAGCGCACAAAAGCGACGAUGUCUAAAACCUAGGCGCAAAGCGUAAAAGCGGUAAGCUUUUCGUACACAAGGCGCAAAGUGAUUAUAUAAAUAAUUUUAUAUACCCCAUAGGUUUUUAGCAUCCCCUACCUUUGAUUUUAGCUAAAAUUAAGCUUUAAAUAUGAUUUAAAAGGAAAAAACAGAAAUGUACAGCAUAAAAAGCCUAUUUUACCACACUCAGCUGCACAGAAACACCCCAUGUACAAAAGGCGCGGGCCUCACCUGCGUCUCAGGUCAAAUUUUAGGCUAAAAGGCGCGCCUCACCUGCGACUUUUGUACACCCUGAGCCUUAUGUCACACAAAGCCAUUUGGUUUGCGCCUUAGGUCGCCGUAACACAAAGAUAAACAAAAUUCAGACAUUAUCAUAUCAAAACAAGCAGAUAAAUUGACAAAUAAUAGAUCAAAACCUAAAAUCACUAUAAAAAAAUCUUGAAAAUAAUCAUUAAAAUUCGCUAAUUAAAUCGGUUGAAUCAAUUAACUUUUCAUCUAAAUCUCAGAAAACUAUUUCAAUUUAGAAAGAUUGCACAAAAUAACCACCAAUUACAGGCAACCAAAACCCUAACUAAAAAAACCCAAAUUAGAAAAAAUUGCAAAUAAAAAAAAGAAAAAAACACAUACGCCUUUGGUGGAAGUGUGACGGUGCUUCCUUGGCUUCUUGAUGCCGUUCCUGUGAGCCUUGUAAGACUGGUUAUGUGCGGUGUGGUUCUUCGAUUUCGCCAUUUCUCACGCACUAGUUUCACCAAAAAUUAAAACAAAUUAACACACAUACAAAUCGAUUGAUAAUACUCAACUUAUGUACAGAUCAGAAGCUGGAACCAGGGUUUUAGAUUGAGAAAAAAUGGUGAGAGUGAUACCUGUUUGGCUGCUGCUGCUGGUGGAGAAAGAGAUUAGGGUUUUUAUGGUGGACAGAAAGAAGGAAAUGGGUCGUUGUCUCUAUUUAAAAACCCUAAAUUGCAAAUGGACCUCUUAAAUUGGGCUCGGCCCAAUACUUCACUAGUAUCCAUUUACCCACCAGUCACCACAAAGGAUUGAUGGAUAAUGAAAGUAGAGGUGGACAUAUUGGGGUUGGAACUGAUAUAAUCGGUUUAGAUUUGGUUCUCGUUAUUUGA